UACGAGGGGUCCUAGCGUUGUUCGGAAUCACUGGGCGUAAAGCGUAUGUAGGCGGGCUUCUAAGUCAGAUGUGAAAUCCCAUGGCUCAACCAUGGAAUUGCAUUUGAAACUGGAGGUCUUGAGUGUGGGAGAGAUUGGUAGAAUACCUAGUGUAGUGGUGAAAUACGUAGAUAUUAGGUGGAAUACCGGAGCGAAGGCGCAUGGCCAACAU
rnacentral:rRNA from 1 species